rnacentral:piRNA from 1 species
UUAAAGGAAAAGCCCAUGGUAUUCUCAC